UACCAAAUUUGAUGUAAAUCGGUUCAGUGCUUAUUGAUUCCCUAUACAAAUUUUCAACCCCCCUUGAGGGUGAUUUCUGGAAUAAAAACUACCCUAUGACCUUCCCUGGGACUCAAAAAAUCUCUAUGCCAAAUUUCAACUAAAUCGGUUCAGCAGUUUAAGCGUAUAGAGGUAACAGACAGACAGACUUUCGCAUUUAUAAUAUUAGUAUGGAUGAUAGAACCCUAUGAAAGAAAUACAAUUGUGUACUAUAAUUGUAAUUUAGUAUCUUGCCUAUUAUUUCCAAUCAUUCCAAUCAAAGCUUUAACCCAUGUCAUCCAGAAAUUUUUUUUUUUUCUAUAAGACGAUUUUCGUAGCAGUGUACGAGUACCUACCUAGUCCAUCAUUCGGACUUUGUUGUUGAUUGUUGACCAAAUACUUGGUUUUGGUUGUUUGUUUGAGGCUGUAAAUGAUAGGUGCCGCCCAUGACAAACCAAGUUCGGUCAAAACUCAAAAAUCAACAAAUCCAAAUGAUGGACUACUAGUACACUCUGAGACGAAAAACGUCUUAUAGAAAAGUUUAUAUUUUCUGGAUGGAUGGGUUUAGAAUGUUUAGAUGUAAAGUUUUGAUUGGUAAUAAUAGGCAAGAUACUAAACUACAUGAAAAAAAAAUAGCUUUACCUCUUCCAAAAGUAAGUUGUGUCCAAUAACCCUUACUUUUUAAAUGUCUCGUUUUAGGUAGAGGUAUACCUACAAUGGUUUUUAUUGAAGGUACACUGAAGCGAAGGUACAAUAUAACUACAUACAUUUUGCUUGAAAUAAUACGAGAUUUCAUAAGUCCACCCGCCAACCUGACGUCAGGUUUUGAGCCUUGUUUUGAGCUUAGGUCGUUUUAGGGAUAGAUAUACUGAUUUCUAUUAAAGGUUUAUUUUUUAUUUUAUUUAUUUAAAUAUGAAUAUAUUUACAGAGGUACACUGAAGGUACAAUAUAACUGCAUACUUUUAGUGCGGUAGGUAUAAUGCAAGAUAUAUGUCAACCCGCCAUCCUGACGCUCACCAGUAGUGUAGUGAUAUUAGUCAAUUGCAAUAUUUGCAAUGUAGUUAUGAAAGUAAAUACAAGUUCAUGUUGCACUGAUAAAAUCACUUUAAACGACGAUUCUAAUGGAAAUUUACCUCAAAUUUCAGGAGCUGAUACAGGCAGCCAGAAUGAGUCUCUGCUGAGUCGCCGUCUGACGUCUUCGUGCCAGGUGCCAGUCGCCAGUUGCAGGGGAAGAUGCGAAUAGUUAUACAAGCGAGCAUGAUGACGUCUCUCAAAAACAGAUAGACACAAUACUCUUACUCGCCUUGUUACCAGAGAACAAUGGUGUUCCGGACCUUUGGGAGGCGUGCGCGGAGCCGAAGCCAACACGUAGAGGCCCUUUUGACGCAUUAAUGAAAUGCAACCUCCAGCAGCAGUGGGACCAGCGCGGCCCCCUGCGCCCCCGCCCCGUCCCUCGCCCCUGCAGAGCGGACACCAGCGCCCUCUACAACUCUACCGGCGCCCGCCGUGUCUCCACCUUCUUCAAAAACGACAACCGGUGUUAGAUCUUCAAUUGACAUGACAAUACGAUGGACCUAGCUAGGCUAACAUUUUUAUUUUACCUUUUUAUCUCUGUAUAUUCCCAAGUCCCCAAGGGCACAGAUGGGAAUAUCAUAAUAUAGAUUACUCCCAUCCCCGUCCGCGCCCCCGCCUGAUGUGUGGCGGCCGUCACGUGAAGCCUUGACAAAUGUGAAUACAACCGUUGCCGCCAUAACAAUAAAUACUUAAAACAAUAGAUAAUGGUACGGAACCCUUCGUGCGCGAGUCCGACUCUCACUCUCACUUUCACGACUUUUCUUUCUAAGAUUAUUUUGAUUGAUUAGUCUACCAAUUAAUUUCUGUAUAAAUCAGUACCUAUAACAAAAUUCUUGCCCUUUUUAUUUCCCAAUUUAUAAUCUAAUUAUAGUCUUCAUCUUCUCAAAUCAUUUUUUAGCUUAAGAAUACAUCAUAAACCUAAGUAAUCUGUUAAACAAAAACCAUUGUCUCUAUUGUGACGGGCUCUAAGCUUCCAACUUGGGCACGUGGCAAAGCAACAAUGCCGUUUAAAAAGCAACUGAAUCGCGAUAGUACUAUAGUUCAAAUCUUUUUGACAGCUCAUUCAAGAUAACACGGUUGCGUAAUGUGGAUGGUUCGGUCGACCACCCCGAUAUAGGCGAGAAUACACAG